UCUCCCACAAACCAGCACACUGAUCCAACCUCUCCCACAACCCAGCACACUAAUACAACCUCUCCCAGAACAGAGAUAACCACCUCACACUGAUCCAGCCUCUUCCACAACCCAGCACAUUGAUCCAACCUCUCCCACAACCCAGCACACUGAUCCAACCUCUCCCACAACAGACAUAACCCAACACACUGACCCAAAGUUUCCCACAACAGAGAUAACCCAGCACACUGAUCCAACCUCUCCCACGACAGAGAUAACCCAGCACACUGAUCCAACCUCUCCCACGACAGAGAUAACCCAGCACACUGAUCCAACCUCUCCUACAACAGAGAUAACCCAGCACACUGAUCCAACCUCUCCCACAACAGAGAUAACCCAGCACACUGAUCCAACCUCUCCCACAACAGAGAGAACCUCAGCACACUGAUCCAACCUCCCCCACAACAGAGAUAACCCCAGCAUACUGAUCCAGUCUUAUCUACACAAAAGAGAUAGCCGCAGUGCACAGAUCCAGUCUUAUCUACACAAUAGCCAAACAAACAGUUCUAGCCUCAUUCAGACACUUGUGCAUGAAACUAACCUCAGUAUCUAGACCCAGCUCAUGCUUGACAUGCUCUCCGCACUAGUAUCUCAGAGUCCAUUUCCCCAGAUUACAUUCCAUUACAGUCUUUUGUUACUUCCAGACCAACCACAAUGCCACUAUACUGUACAUCCGAGCUACAUGAUCAUAAAGCAAAGGUUUCAGGAAAAUCUUAAGACUGAGAAUGACGUUCUCCAGAAAGGCAAGACCUCAGUUCCUGUGUAUGUAAUCAGUACAUAACUAAGAGAAAAAACAAAUGGGACAACAAUACAAAAAUUAAGAGUCUCCCUUCAGCCCUGGGUACUGAUUAGUACAAGGCAAUCAACUGAUGAAAGGAAUGAAUGAAAAAGUUCUUGCAGAGGAGGGAUGUCUUUGAUCAUAUGCCACACAAGGACUGAACAGGCUGUUUCUUUGAGGAUUUCACUCAGUACAUGAAUGUUUUCGCCUGCUGAUUAAAACCCGCUUAGUGCCAAAAGCACUUUCGGCGUCAGAGAGAAUACCAGGGACACCAUACAAGCUGGCAGACUACUGGAAGGCAGGCACUGAUUGUGUCCCAAGAUUGCCCUUACAUGAAAUACAGAACAAAACUGCCUCUUGCAUGAGAGACAACCGAUCUGAAAGCUUUCGAGUGGGGUGCCAUUAUAUCCAAGGCAUUGCUCAUGCACGUCCAAUGAGCAUCACAGACAGCAGCAAAGGGAGUAUACAUGCAGUUGGCUGCAGAUGUCUUUGUGAAAUGAAAGGAAGUAUUGAAAGGCUGAAAUAUAUUUCAAUGGAAGUAACCCAGCAGUUUUCUCAUCUAAACAAUAUUAAAAUAUACAACUGUUUCUCCCAAAACAAGGUUAGAAAAUCUUCCCCCACAAGGGUGAAGGGUUGACCAGCAAGGCUUCGGAGGGGAUCGCACAGAACUGGAGCUAUGUUCUCUCUUAUCCUCCAUUUCGUCAUCUUUAGAGGGAGAAUCAGAGUUUUUCAAUCUGAUUUCACGUCUAGACUGUGAAGGGCAGAAGGAAGGGCCAUUGCCGUCAUUUCCUCAUCAUACAAAUUCAGAGAAGGGAUACAACCUGCACAAAGGAAUCAAUUAAACCCCAAAAUUGAUCGGGCUCUGAAAAAAUUUUGAACUGUUGUCACUGUUUCAAACGAAUGGGGUAGAAGAAAUCCCCAGGAAAAUAGGUUUAAACCAAAUUAUGCAAAGAACAUCAGCAAAUCCUCUCAUGUGUCAUGUAAGAAUCUGUCUGCAAGGGAAAACCAGAGACUAGUGGGCAGAGCUGGGGGAACUCAGCAAAUGACUUACUGGGAAGGUUAAAUUUGAACUAGCUGAAGAGACGAACCAGACCAGAAAGUACAGGAUUAAAAACAUACAUUAUCCUAAUUGGACUAAAAAUAAAAGCUUAUUAUUUUAAAAAUUACAGUGGAGCUACAUAAGUACAAUAGAAGUUGUUGAGUAGACACUACAAAUUUGCUUAGUACACAAGAUCUGCCACUAGAAAAUGCUAAUUUAAAAAGUAACAGGUAUUCAACCAAUACAUUGGAGGCUGUUGGUGCUUUCACUGCAUUGAGUUAUUGAUGCACCGCAUAGUCCAGAAUCAAAGCCUCAUCACGCAAGUUACAAUUGUGGGCAGGAGUCCCACAGGCUAAAUUAUAAUUUCUCCUGGGGAGGAGGUUUUCAUUUGGUAGGCUACUCCCUACCUCAUUAGUGUAGUGACUCCUCUGGCUAAUGGGGUAACUCCCUGCUACCUACUCUAGCUGUGUGAUAUGUAAAGUCUUAUGGUGCAAUGGAUCAGCUCAGACUGCAGAGCUAAAAGAAGCGGCUGCUGGCUACACACAGGCAUGCUAAUGUCCACCCUUCCAAGCUGAUGUAAAAAAAAAAAUUGAAAUGGGAUUGUGUUGCUUCCUCAAAUAAUAAAGUGAGCAAAGUUUAUGAGCCAUUGGUUUCCCUACAUACAGUAGUUGACUAUUACACACACCAUAGUUAAAAUGUAGUAAUGAUUACACUUUUGUAUUAUUUAGUAGCACUGAUAAUCUCCAAUUAUGCAAGUCACCUUGAAUAAGAGUGUCUAACUAAAUGCAAUGAGAUUUAAUGUAUUCCGACAGUAAGAAAAUGGCUUACUUCAUAUGGACUAACAAAAGAUCAACAGAUAAGUAAAGUUACCCCAUCUGAGCAAAGAGCUGACACACUACCUCCACUGUUCUUUGAGUUCAGUUAUCACUCCUUCUCCACCUUUCUGUGAGAUCAGUGCUCACUCAUACUCCUCUACUCCUCCCUCCCUCUCUCUCUCUCUUUCUCUCUCUCAGCAUCGUGCCCACUCUCACAUAGUCCCUCUGAGCUAUGCACACCUGACCUCACCAUGGCCAUGUUGUUUUCCAGCUCCCUGGUUAUGUGCGGGGAGUGGGCAUGGCAGGAAGGGGCGGGGGGAAGAGGUGGUGACCCUGCACACUUGCUCUGGCUGUCGGCUGACCGUGCAGAAGGACACAAUAAAAACAGAUGGAAGAGAGAAAAGAUGAUGAAGGGGAGGAGAAGGAGGAGGAGGAGGUGACACCGGGCACUACUGCAAUACAGACAGCUGAUUACACGCCAGCGUCCCCAAACUCCCGCUCCCACCAAUGCUCGUGACAUGCUGGUCAGCAGAGCUACAGAGCAGUACUACAAUUCCCACCAGCAGUGGAGUACUUAUGGGUUGGUGACACCAGAAGCUGUGUGCAGAAGCAUUGAAAUUCAAAUCCAGUGCUGACAGAACCCAACCACGACUACCUCCAGUGGAGUUUCACCUUGGAUUUGUCCAAAUGCAAGCCAUAUGUGAUUUUUUUGCGCUCAGAUUACAUCUGAGAUCUACAGAACCUAAAAAGACAAGUGUAACUGGGGCCUACAUAACCUUGAAUCAAAUCUGAGUGUUCCAACCAGACAUCAGCAUAUCAGAGAAGGUAUUUUGUGAAGGACAUGCUAUGUUCAAGUCCAGUGUGUGUUUGUGUGUGUGUGUGUUGUUAUAUUAUUUUAUCCUGCCCCUUUUCUCUAUCAUUGGGAAGCUCGGUUACAUCUUUUGACUAAAAUCUGCACAAGGGUGUGCAGCUCACUCAGAAGCCAGGAACAGUUUUCCACACUACAGAUCACACAGUAUUACAGCAAGGUUACCACUAGGGAUGUCAGGCAUCUGGUUUUCGGCCAGAAUGUCCAGUUUUCAAAUUAUUUGUAUAGGUCUGGUUUGUGGUCCCGCCAAGACGAUGUAAUGUAACUGAUAAGUACCUGGUUGAGCAAUAGAUGGAAGAAAUUUUCCCAGUAGUUUGUAACAAAUUAGCAUUUCAAUGAAUGCCCGUUCCGAUAGCACAACACACCAGUCUGAAAUUGGUUCCGAGAGGACCACCCCGAUUACACUUCCAGCUGUGCAUGUCAUCUGGUUUUGACCAUUUCUAAAUCUGGCAAGCCCAGUUACCACUGAUCAGUGUAGAUACAUAGCUUGCACAGCUAGACAGUGGGCACCAGUAAAUAGGAAGCCUGGCUGACUUAAACGAGCCCUACCUGUGGUGAACAGUUAAGAUAUUCAAGUGUGUCCUGCCACUAUGUGACAAAGUAGGGGCUUGAAUCUAUGGUGUUUCAGCAAUGGGGCUCAACAUGCGCAAUAGGGAAAGCAUGUCGACAUAGACUAGCAUCCUCUGAGGUGCAUUCCCUUUUUUCUACAUUCAUUUUAAGAGAUAUUUUAAGAAGGUAAUUGCUCUUCCAAACAUCGUUUUGUCAUUGCUGUUGCAAUGUUAUACUGUUCUUCGGCUUGCUCAGGUCUGCUCCAAAAUCAAUAACAUCCUAACUUUUAAAAAACUAAUAAAUAAAACUGACCACUGCAGCUUAAAACAAGACAUCAGUUACAUGUCAUGAGUUACAUGAGUACUUUUAUUCAAACAUAAUAAUUAAUUAGUGCCAUGGAAAACAUUUCCAGUGUACAUAUUUUGAAUGAUUAUUUUGGUGGGUGAAGGUAUUGCUCAUAUAAGCCUAAGUGUGUGUAAAAUUAGGAUGAGAAACACUGAAUUAAAUUGAAGCAAUACAAAACCCUUUGGAAAAAAAAGCUUUUUUCUGAGAGAUUCGUUGUUUGGAAAUUGAGUGAAAAAGCAAAGCUGGUUCUUUCAGCAGUUCAUCCUGCAAUGAGCAUUUGUGACCCUUCUCUUUCUCCAUUUUAGUUGUCAUGAUUUUCAUUUAACUUCUAAAUAAUGAAAUCAUCACC